CAGUCGCCGCGGUAAUACGGAGGGUGCAAGCGUUAAUCGGAAUUACUGGGCGUAAAGCGCACGCAGGCGGUUUGUUAAGUCAGAUGUGAAAUCCCCGGGCUCAACCUGGGAACUGCAUUUGAAACUGGCAAGCUAGAGUCUCGUAGAGGGGGGUAGAAUUCCAGGUGUAGCGGUGAAAUGCGUAGAGAUCUGGAGGAAUACCGGUGGCGAAGGCGGCCCCCUGGACGAAGACUGACGCUCAGGUGCGAAAGCGUGGGGAGCAAACAGGAUUAGAUACCCCUGUAGUCCCUGUCUCUUAUAC
rnacentral:rRNA from 1 species